AGUUUCAUAUUCAACUAUGAUUCUAAAUUGCAAAUUUAGAGGUGAAUUUUAUUCUGAAACUU
rnacentral:tRNA from 1 species